CCUGGCUCAGGAUGAACGCUGGCGGCGUGCUUAACACAUGCAAGUCGAACGGAGUUUUAACGGAAGUUUCGGAUGGAAGUUUAAGAACUUAGUGGCGGACGGGUGAGUAACGCGUGGGUAACCUGCCUCAUACAGGGGGAUAACAGUUAGAAAUGACUGCUAACACCGCAUAAUAUAGUGAAACCGCAUGAUUUUGCUAUCAAAUAUUUAUAGGUAUGAGAUGGGCCCGCGUCUGAUUAGCUAGUUGGUGGGGUAAAAGCCUACCAAGGCGACGAUCAGUAGCCGGCUUGAGAGAGUGACCGGCCACAUUGGGACUGAGACACGGCCCAAACUCCUACGGGAGGCAGCAGUGGGGAAUAUUGGACAAUGGGGGAAACCCUGAUCCAGCGAACCGCCGCGUGAGUGAAGAAGUAUUUCGGUAUGUAAAGCUCUAUCAGCAGGGAAGAUAAUGACAGUACCUGACUAAGAAGCCCCGGCUAACUUACGUGCCAGCCGCAGC
rnacentral:rRNA from 1 species